rnacentral:rRNA from 1 species
GGAGUCUGGACCGUGUCUCAGUUCCAGUGUGGCUGAUCAUCCUCUCAGACCAGCUACCCAUCGUCGCCUUGGUGAGCCUUUACCUCACCAACCAGCUAAUGGGCCGCGAACUCAUCUGAAGACAACAGGAACAAGUUCCCGCCUUUUCCCGCACCCUCCGAAGAAAGCGUGGGCUUAUCCGGUAUUAGCACUCCUUUCGGAAUGUUAUCCCGGAUCCUCAGGUAGAUUAUUCACGUGUUACUCACCCGUGCGCCACUCUACUCAGGGCCGAAGCCCCUUUCUCGUUCGACUUGCAUGUGUUAAGCACGCCGCCAGCGUUCGUU